GACGAACGCUGGCGGCGUGCUUAACACAUGCAAGUCGAACGGUAAGGCCCUUCGGGGUACACGAGUGGCGAACGGGUGAGUAACACGUGGGUGAUCUACCCUGCACUUCGGGAUAAGCCUGGGAAACUGGGCCUAAUACCGGAUAGGACCACUGCCUGCAUGGGUGGUGGUGGAAAGCUUUUGCGGUGUGGGAUGGGCCCGCGGCCUAUCAGCUUGUUGGUGGGGUGAUGGCCUACCAAGGCGACGACGGGUAGCCGGCCUGAGAGGGUGACCGGCCACACUGGGACUGAGAUACGGCCCAGACUCCUACGGGAGGCAGCAGUGGGGAAUAUUGCACAAUGGGCGCAAGCCUGAUGCAGCGACGCCGCGUGAGGGAUGACGGCCUUCGGGUUGUAAACCUCUUUCAGCACCGACGAAGCGCAAGUGACGGUAGGUGCAGAAGAAGGACCGGCCAACUACGUGCCAGCAGCCGCUGUAA
rnacentral:rRNA from 1 species